UGACCGUGUGCGUGUUGAAAAGGGACCGCGUGUCGCCCGUCACUUUCACAUCGCUUGUUGAACAGGUGCCGCCAACAUCCCACUCCAUUCCACUCGCGUUCCGGUUGAGCGAGCCACGCGAAAGGCACGAGCGCGGUGUCUAGCCACGUCUCCACUUCGGUCCCGCGCGACUUCAUGAACGUCUAUUUAUUUAUUUAUUUAUUUAUUUAUUUGUAUCGUCGCUGCCUUUUCAUGUAUUAUACGGAAAUGGAGAUCACAAAGACACAGAUAAAUCCUGGCGCGCAGAUUUACAGUUUGCAGAUUUCGGACGGUUUUGCGCCUCGACAGAAAGCCCCGGUUGCGCGCAGUCCAGAGCGCACGCUGCUGAAAAGGCAACGGUGCAGCAGCCCGGAGCGCCUGAGGUGCACACGCAGGCUGAACUUCGGAGCUCUUGGGCUCGGGGUCAGUCAGCAGCAGCAGCAGCAGCCGGUGGCUGUGGCCAGGCGCAACGAGCGCGAGAGGAACCGGGUGAAGCAGGUCAACAUGGGCUUCCAGACUCUCCGGCAGCACGUGCCUAACGGCGCGGCGAACAAGAAGAUGAGCAAAGUAGAGACGCUGCGCUCGGCUGUGGAGUACAUCCGCGCGCUCCAGCGCCUUUUGGAUGAGCACGACGCCGUGUCUGCUGCGUUCCGGUGCGCGGUCCCGUCUCCCACGGUCUCGAGCGCGUGCUCUGCUGACCCGGAGUCCCCCCGCUCCGCCUGCUCCUCUGACGAAGGCGGGUACGAGCAUCUAAACUCGGAAGAGCAGGAGCUGCUGGACUUCGCCGCAUGGUUCGACGGGUUCUAGUUACAGGUGAAUGAGCCCAGUUUAAACCACUGGCUGACCGUAAACAUCAAACGGGUGCAGACAGAUAGUGUGCAAGUAAUGAUGUGUUUGGUCCUGUGGUGGUGCUGAAAAGAACAGCGGUUUCUCCGGUGUCCACUUCGCGUUCAAUCAAAACGCGACACAUCACAUGCGCGAGGAAAGUUCCGGGCGGCGAAAGUAACUUCCACAUGUGCUCUUUAGCCACGUGACCUCACGCCCAAACACUUCCUAGUGUGAUGAUCAGAACAUCUGGAGACGUGGCGAAUACUGACCUUUACUCAGAGACUUUCAACUAUUAUUUCAUAUGAGUGCAAAGACCUGCACGUGUGUAAACACUAAAUCCACAUUUGUCUAGGUAAAGAGUGAAUAGUAAUAGAUAUUGCAUUCACAUUACACAAGCAGUGAGGGUUUUCUGUAUUUGAUCAAUGGCUUUUAUAUAUCAUAAAAGUGUGCACUUGGGACUUUUCAUACAAACCUGUGCA